AUCCAGCUGUUGAGUUCCAGAUAGGACGAAACGUGCGUAGUGGAU
rnacentral:hammerhead_ribozyme from 1 species